GGUUCCGGGUUCUUCUCCCCUCCUUGACCAGGCACUGUUUGAACGCGCCAAAGGUGGGUCAAUCAGAAAGAAGCAUCUCCCCCCUUCCCUUGGGCCCGCCCCACGUAGGCCCAAGGGAUAUAAAACCCAGCACACCAGCAGCUCUCUCUCUCUCUUCUCUUCUCCUCUCUCUUCUCUUCUCUCUCUCCCCCGCGCGACCUGACCUCUACCUCUCCAAUAAAGAUCUCUUGGCUGCCACUGGUGUCGUCUCUGACUAGCCUGUCGCCCUUCAUUUUGGUGCCGUGACUCGGAUCGGGAUUCCCCACCUUUAGGUGGGACCCCGAUCCCUUCCCAGGCUCAGUCUAGACCUCCGGCCAGCCUUCACCCAUUUUCCUGUUCUCCGAGCUCUUCGCCCACCACCAGCCUCAUCUCGCUUCUCCUUAGACAGUAUCAACUCCUAGCAACCAGCGAAGAAGCGGCUGACUCCAGAGACAGACUCUGAGCACCAUGUCUCGGUUCCACCAGUUCCUAGACGAUCUCCGCAAAGACUGCUGGCUCAUCACAGACCUCUCCCUGCCCCUUGGCUGGCUACAAGGAACAUUCAUGGACUUCACAACUGAGGAGAUGUUCACAUACAGCGCCCUACUGCUUGGCCUUAUACUCCUGCUAUGCCCCGUACACAACCCCCAGAGUCCUCCCAUAUCCCUCCCCCACGACGCCCCCGCUCAGCAGGAAGUAGUCAGACAAACUACAACGCCCAUUUCCCCACUUCUUAAGAAACAAAAAAGGGAGGAACGUUAGGUAACAGGGGUACCUUAAUGGCGCCGGUUCCGGGUUCUUCUCCCCUCCUUGACCAGGCACUGUCUGAACCCGCCAAAGGAGGGCCAAUCAGAAAGAAGCAUCUCCCCCCUUCCCUUGGGCCCGCCCCACGUAGGCCCAAGGGAUAUAAAACCCAGCACACCAGCAGCUCUCUCUCUCUCUUCUCUUCUCUCUCUCCCCCGUGCGACCUGACCUCUACCUCUCCAAUAAAGAUCUCUUGGCUGC